AAACACAUUGGUCCAAGACCAAUAUCAAAAAAGAAUGGACAUGCACCAAUACUCAUAUCCAUUUUACGACGACGCGCGAGCGCACAAAAUUGGCAGAGACGCCAUUGCAGCUGCCCGCAAAUUAAAA
ensembl:ncRNA K03C7.13 ncRNA